rnacentral:rRNA from 1 species
AAAGCAGGCUCGCGCUUGAAUACAUUAGCAUGGAAUAAUGAAAUAGGACGUUUGACCCUAUUUGUUGGUUUCUAGGAUCGACGUAAUGAUUAAUAGGGAUAGUUGGGGGCAUUAGUAUUCAAUUGUCAGAGGUGAAAUUCUUUGGAUUUAUUGAAGACUAACUACUGCGAAAAGCAUUUUGCCAAGGAUGUUUUCAUUAAUCAAGAACGAAAGUUAGGAGAUCGAAGACGAUCAGAUACCGUCGUAGUCUUAACCAUAAACUAUGCCGACUAGGGAUCGGAUGAUGUUAAUUUUUUAAUGACUCAUUCGGCGCCUUACG